UGGGGAAUCUUGGACAAUGGGCGCAAGCCUGAUCCAGCCAUGCCGCGUGGAUGAUGAAGGCCUUAGGGUUGUAAAAUCCUUUCGCCGAGGACGAUAAUGACGGUACUCGGAGAAGAAGCUCCGGCUAACUUCGUGCCAGCAGCCGCGGUAAUACGAAGGGGGCUAGCGUUGUUCGGAUUUACUGGGCGUAAAGCGCGUGUAGGCGGGUCGUUAAGUUAGGGGUGAAAUCCCGAGGCUCAACCUCGGAACUGCCUUCAAAACUGGCGACCUGGACCUAAGUAGAGGCAAGUGGAAUUGCGAGUGUAGAGGUGAAAUUCGUAGAUAUUCGCAGGAACACCAGUGGCGAAGGCGACUUGCUGGACUUAUGGUGACGCUGAGACGCGAAAGCGUGGGGAGCAAACAGGAUUAGAUACCCCUGUAGUCCCUGAGCGGGCUGGCAAGGCGCAU
rnacentral:rRNA from 1 species